rnacentral:rRNA from 1 species
UACGGAGGGUGCAAACGUUGCUCGGAAUCAUUGGGCGUAAAGGGCGCGUAGGCGGCCAUUCAAGUCAGGGGUGAAAGCCUGUGGCUCAACCACAGAAUUGCCUUUGAUACUGUUUGGCUAGAGACCGGAAGAGGUAAGUGGAACUGCGAGUGUAGAGGUGAAAUUCGUAGAUAUUCGCAAGAACACCAGUGGCGAAGGCGGCUUACUGGUCCGGUUCUGACGCUGAGGCGCGAAAGCGUGGGGAGCGAACAGG